CGUCUAUUCCGGAAAACCGUAUUUAAAAGCAGGAUUGACGACCAAAGAAAAAUGAGAAAGUAACAUUUUAAUGUGGAGCUUAGUAAUCGCCUAGAAUGAAUGGCGAUAUACAGUUUACUGCACCCUCCAAUGCGCAAAAGAGGCAGGAUGGCAAAAUUCAUGACUAUCUUAAGCAAGCCAGGAGACUGCUAAAAAGUGUGGGCCUCAUUCUAAGUCUGACUUCCCUAAUGCUCAGAAGAUGGCUAUGUUGAGUCCACAAACUUUUGAAUUCAGAAACAAGAUUGAGUUGAUUUCAGAAGCUCUCCCAGAAGAUCAAGAAAGAACUUUCCAGGAUCUCCAGGAACCUGAAUUGAGUCAUACGCCAAAGAAAGUAGCUUAGAAGUGACCAAUAUGUCAAGGUCCCAUGAGAAGACUGAAAAAAAGAGAAGAAAGAGGAAAGAAAAGAAUGACAAGAAAGAGAAAGAAAGAAACCAAUAUGCUCUUUGUUCUUUGCUUUUGCUUCCUCAAGCUUUUCUCUGUCUACAAAGCCAACCUCUCCUGCUCAGCUCAUCAGAACAUUCACUCCACUUUCUGGAAUGAAGUGUUGCCUGAUCCUAGAGUCGCAAUAAAGCC
rnacentral:lncRNA from 1 species